rnacentral:rRNA from 1 species
CACGUAGGGGGCGAGCGUUGUCCGGAUUUAUUGGGCGUAAAGAGCUCGUAGGCGGCUAAGUAAGUCGGGUGUGAAAACUCCAGGCUCAACCUGGAGACGCCACCUGAUACUGCUUUGGCUAGAGUCCGGUAGGGGAGCAUGGAAUUCCUGGUGUAGCGGUGAAAUGCGCAGAUAUCAGGAGGAACACCAGUGGCGAAGGCGGUGCUCUGGGCCGGAACUGACGCUGAGGAGCGAAAGCUAGGGGAGCGAACGGG